AACGAACGCUGGCGGCAGGCUUAACACAUGCAGGUCGAGCGCCCCGCAAGGGGAGCGGCAGACGGGUGAGUAACGCGUGGGAAUCUACCCAUCUCUACGGAAUAACGCAUGGAAACGUGUGCCAAUACCGUAUACGUCCUUCGGGAGAAAGAUUUAUCGGAGAUGGAUGAGCCCGCGUUGGAUUAGCUAGUUGGUGGGGUAAAGGCCUACCAAGGCGACGAUCCAUAGCUGGUCUGAGAGGAUGAUCAGCCACACUGGGACUGAGACACGGCCCAGACUCCUACGGGAGGCAGCAGUGGGGAAUAUUGGACAAUGGGCGCAAGCAUGAUCCAGCCAUGCCGCGUGAGUGAUGAAGGCCCUAGGGUUGUAAAGCUCUUUCACCGGUGAAGAUAAUGACGGUAACCGGAGAAGAAGCCCCGGCUAACUUCGUGCCAGCAGCCGCCGCAGUAA
rnacentral:rRNA from 1 species